GGAAGUGGAACUAAAGAGGAAGUAAAGAGGAAGUGGAAGUACAGAGGAAGUAAAGAUGGAGUGAGCAGGUGGAAGUGUGUCCCCAGACUGACGUUGAACUCUUCGGUGGAUGAGAGGAGAAGAGGAGUGAGGGGAUGUGGCAGGAGGCCCAGGAAGAAAGAAUAUUGUCCCUCCUGGAGAAGAUCUCUUAAUCUGGUAUCGUGAAGACGAAGCUGUCCAUAGCUCAUCAUCUCAGAGGAC